rnacentral:rRNA from 1 species
UCAAUUUAAACUGAAUAUUAGUUAUUUAUUAAUUUUUUAUGUGUUGUAUUUUAAGUAUUAAAAAUAAUUAUAGAUAAUUAAGUUUUAGUAAUUUUUAAUGAAACAAUAAUAUUAAUAAUAGUUUAUUAGUAUCGUGAGAGAAUAUUGAAAUAAUUUGAAAAAUUUUUAUACUAGAAGAAAAUUUUAUUUGUUGUACCUUGUGUAUCAGGGUUUAUCUAUUAAAUUAUAUAAAUUUUAUAUUUCUCGGUUUUAUAAGAGUUAAUAUUUAAUAAAAGUUAAUGUGUCAAAAUUAUUUUUCAUUAAAUGUUAGAAAUGAAAUGUUAUUCGUUUAUAAAGGUAUCUAGUUUUCUUAGAAAUAAAUUUAAUUUACAAAUUUUUAAUUUUUUUGUUAAUUUUUUAACCUAAAAAUUUAUUAAUUUGAAUAUGCUGAGGGAUAAGCUUCAGUGUAGAGUUCUAAAAAAUUUUUUGUAUUUUUAAUUGUAUGCUUAAGAUUAGCAAACAGUAGUAAAAUUGUUAUAAAUUAUAUUUUUAAUAAUAUUAUUUAAUUUAUCUUUAGAUUUUUAUAAGAAUUUUAUUUUUACUUAAAAAAGAUAAGUAAUAAUGAUAAAAUUAGUAUAUUAAUUUGUAAAUUUAAAUUUACGUGAUAAGUUUAUAUAAAGAACUCGGCAAAUUGUGUACUCGCCUGUUUAACAAAAACAUGUCUUUUUGAGUUGAUUAAAAAGUCUAGCCUGCCCAAUGAAAUAAUUGAAUGGCCGCAGUAUUCUGACUGUGCAAAGGUAGCAUAAUCAUUAGUCUUUUAAUUGAAGGCUGGUAUGAAUGGUUGGACGAGGUAUUAGCUGUUUCAUAUAAAUUUAGUAUAGAAUUUUAUUUUUUAGUUAAAAAGCUAAAAUGUUAUUAAAAGACGAGAAGACCCUAUAAAUCUUUAUACUUUAGUUUAUUUAAAUUUGUUGGAUAUAGUUGAUUUUUAUAACUUGAAGUAUUUUAUUGGGGUGAUAUUAAAAUUUAUAUAACUUUUAAUUAUAUAAUUCAUUAAUUUAUGAGUCGUUGAUCCAUUAUUAGUGAUUAGAAGAUUAAGUUACUUUAGGGAUAACAGCGUAAUUUUUUUGGAGAGUUCUUAUCGAUAAAAAAGAUUGCGACCUCGAUGUUGGAUUAAGAUAUAAUUUUAGGUGUAGCCGUUUAAAUUUUAAGUCUGUUCGACUUUUAAAUUCUUACAUGAUCUGAGUUCAAACCGGUG